rnacentral:rRNA from 1 species
UAAAACUUUUCAGCUAGAGUAUGAUAGAGGAAAGCAGAAUUUCUAGUGUAGAGGUGAAAUUCGUAGAUAUUAGAAAGAAUACCAAUUGCGAAGGCAGCUUUCUGGAUCAUUACUGACACUGAGGAACGAAAGCAUGGGUAGCGAAGAGGAUUAGAUACCCUCGUAGUCCAUGCCGUAAACGAUGUGUGUUAGACGUUGGAAAUUUAUUUUCAGUGUCGCAGGGAAACCGAUAAACACACCGCCUGGGGAGUACGACCGCAAGGUUAAAACUCAAAUGAAUUGACGGGGACCCGCACAAGUAGUGGAGCAUGUGGUUUAAUUCGAAGAUACGCGCAGAACCUUACCAACACUUGACAUGUUCGUCGCGACUCUAAGAGAUUAGAGUUUUCGGUUCGGCCGGACGAAACACAGGUGCUGCAUGGCUGUCGUCAGCUCGUGUCGUGAGAUGUUGGGUUAAGUCCCGCAACGAGCGCAACCCUCACUUUUAGUUGCCAUCAUUAAGUUGGGCACUCUGAAAGAACUGCCAGUGAUAAGCUGGAGGAAGGUGGGGAUGACGUCAAGUCCUCAUGGCCCUUACGUGUUGGGCUACACACGUGCUACAAUGGUAUCUACAACAGGAAGCAAGACUGCGAAGUUAAGCAAAUCCCUAAAAGAUACCUCAGUUCGGAUUGCACUCUGCAACUCGAGUGCAUGAAGCUGGAAUUACUAGUAAUCGUGGAUCAGCGUGCCACGGUGAAUGCGUUCCCGGGUCUUGUACACACCGCCCGUCACACCAUGGGAGUUGGUUCUACCUUAAGGCAAGGUUUCAAACCCUUGACCACGGUAUAGUCAGCGACUGGGGUGAAGUCGU